rnacentral:rRNA from 1 species
UACGAAGGGGGCUAGCGUUGUUCGGAAUUACUGGGCGUAAAGCGCACGUAGGCGGAUACUUAAGUCAGAGGUGAAAGCCCAGGGCUCAACCUUGGAAUUGCCUUUGAUACUGGCUGUCUUGAGUAUGGGAGAGGUAAGCGGAACUCCGAGUGUAGAGGUGAAAUUCGUAGAUAUUCGGAAGAACACCAGUGGCGAAGGCGGCUUACUGGCCCAUUACUGACGCUGAGGCUCGAAGCGUGGGAGCAAACAGG